rfam:Gavia stellata contig118256, whole genome shotgun sequence.
CCAAAGGCUCUUUUCAGAGCCAUCUACUAUAUCGCUGAAGGGCUAA